UGCUGAACUCAGGGUCAAAACGUUAUUUAAAUAUAAAAGAAACGCAUAUGCAGCCGAAAUGUGAUUCACAUUUUUUUUCGCUUUUUGGUUGACAGAUACCUGUCUGUUUAACCAGAUUGGGCGUGGCUUUUGACGUUAUUUUUUUCUAAAACAACGUGCUUACAAACAUGGCGGACUGAAAACAUAAACUUUUCUUGCAGAACGGCUGAAGAACUGUCUAUAGGAGACUUUAUGAAGGAAUUCAUCGUCAGUGUCCAACUGUUUCCAGCAGGAGUAAUGAGCCAGGUGACAUGUUUCCCCAUCCACCUUGCUGAUGUGAUCUAACGUCUACCGCCUGAAUAACAGCUGACGGAGGUUUUUAAUCCCCAUCUGUGGAACCUCCAAGAGACAAACGUUGAGGACCGGUCCCUGUGGGUGAAGUUACUGACUGCAGAAUGACAGCGGGAUGACCGUUAUUUUUCUUUCCGCCUGAACCUGUAACUGCAAGUCCAUUUCCUGCUGCUGGACUCAUCCAAUGGCAGAUGCCGUACAUGGGUUUUUUGUCUACAAAGCUGCGGAUGUAACGACAUUGGACUUGGUGAUGUAUCUUAACGUGACAACCUGGCAUUACGCGAGAGGCAUCAAACAAGGUUAUCGGGAAAGAAAAACUAAUAACAAUGGGACACAAGCAGGUAUCUCCUGGGUGAAAGUCAUGUGCAUGUAUGACCCAUCCAUCAAAAUGGACUUAAUGGUUUGUUAGACACCAGUAAUAUGUAAAUACAUUCCUGAUACAUCUACACUGAUGUUUCAUAAUGCCAAUGUUGUUUCUUUGUGUGCCAAACCCAUCCUUCAAAAUGUAUUCUAACACCUAAACCUCUGAAAACGGCAGACUCCAAAGACAUAAUGGCACACAAAAGCAUGAAACACACCAUUAAAAUCUCCAUUCAACAUUCUACGUGUUAAAUGUCAUCCUACGCAUCAGACAGAUUAACACCAAACCGACAUGUUGUCAGAGGGUGGAAUUGGGGAUUCAAACCUGUGGGUGAGAGUAUACCGUUACACCAAGACUCACCUGCUGCAGCAUCUUCCCAUUGUCCGAGGCUUCCGUGUGACCUGUGAUAAAUUUGAAGGGGAUUGACUUGUUUAACGGACCACCGGGGAAAAGGUUGAACAUCUUUUUAUCAAAACUCUGUGUCCACCAGCGCCACUCUUUUAGUCUUUAAUAGAAGGACCAACAUUUCAUGCAUUGUCAUUGUCAGAAGUGCUUGGGAAACAGUGGUACACUGACCUUGGAUCUGGAGGUAUACGAAUUGUUGUGUGUGUGGAAACAAACCAACCAUAACAAAAGGUUAUUUACCCCUUACUUCCCCUUAACUAAAACAAAUGUUGGUUUUCUUCCACUUUAUAGCUGAUAUGUGCUUACUCUGCUAAACGUAACCAGCUUUAGCCUCAUUAACUUGCCAAGUAAACUUUAUUUUCGCUUUAUAAAAAACAGUCAAUUAUUCUUAACACAUUUUCAGGUGAGAAAAUAAGGAUUAUUUGUCUAGCCUGAAAAGCUCUAAAAUAGUUUUAAAGCUCACGUUAGCUGGUGGACAUUAGUUUCUUAUAAAUAAGUAAUAUUUGUAAU